rnacentral:rRNA from 1 species
CUGGCUCAGGAUGAACGCUGGCGGCGUGCCUAAUACAUGCAAGUCGAACGAGGUAGCAAUACCGAGUGGCGAACGGGUGAGUAACACGUAGGUAACCUGCCUUACAGUUUGGGAUACCCGAGGGAAACCUUGGCUAAUACCGAAUAAUCUUUUGGAGGCAUCUCCAGAAGCUAAAAAGGGGCCUUUAAAGCCUCGCUGAAAAGAUGGACCUGCGGCGCAUUAGCUAGUUGGUGAGAUAACAGCCCACCAAGGCGAGGAUGCGUAGCCGACCUAAGAGGGUGAACGGCCACACUGGAACUGAGACACGGUCCAGACUCCUACGGGAGGCAGCAGUAGGGAGUUUUCGGCAAUGGGGGAAACCCUGACCGAGCAACGCCGCGUGAAACCGAUGAAGGUCUUCGGAUUGUAAAGUUCUGUUAUAAGGGAAGAAUGAUAACUUGAGGAAAUGCUAGUUAUUUGACGGUACCUUAUUAGAAAGCCACGGCUAACUACGUGCCAGCCGCGGC